rnacentral:rRNA from 1 species
GACGAACGCUGGCGGCGUGCUUAACACAUGCAAGUCGAACGGAAAGGCCCUGCUUUUGUGGGGUGCUCGAGUGGCGAACGGGUGAGUAACACGUGAGUAACCUGCCCUUGACUUUGGGAUAACUUCAGGAAACUGGGGCUAAUACCGGAUAGGAGCUCCUGCUGCAUGGUGGGGGUUGGAAAGUUUCGGCGGUUGGGGAUGGACUCGCGGCUUAUCAGCUUGUUGGUGGGGUAGUGGCUUACCAAGGCUUUGACGGGUAGCCGGCCUGAGAGGGUGACCGGCCACAUUGGGACUGAGAUACGGCCCAGACUCCUACGGGAGGCAGCAGUGGGGAAUAUUGCACAAUGGGCGGAAGCCUGAUGCAGCAACGCCGCGUGCGGGAUGACGGCCUUCGGGUUGUAAACCGCUUUCGCCUGUGACGAAGCGUGAGUGACGGUAAUGGGUAAAGAAGCACCGGCUAACUACGUGCCAGCAGCCGCGGUGAUACGUAGGGUGCGAGCGUUGUCCGGAUUUAUUGGGCGUAAAGGGCUCGUAGGUGGUUGAUCGCGUCGGAAGUGUAAUCUUGGGGCUUAACCCUGAGCGUGCUUUCGAUACGGGUUGACUUGAGGAAGGUAGGGGAGAAUGGAAUUCCUGGUGGAGCGGUGGAAUGCGCAGAUAUCAGGAGGAACACCAGUGGCGAAGGCGGUUCUCUGGGCCUUUCCUGACGCUGAGGAGCGAAAGCGUGGGGAGCGAACAGGCUUAGAUACCCUGGUAGUCCACGCUGUAAACGGUGGGUACUAGGUGUGGGGUCCAUUCCACGGGUUCCGUGCCGUAGCUAACGCUUUAAGUACCCCGCCUGGGGAGUACGGCCGCAAGGCUAAAACUCAAAGGAAUUGACGGGGCCCCGCACAAGCGGCGGAGCAUGCGGAUUAAUUCGAUGCAACGCGUAGAACCUUACCUGGGUUUGACAUGGAUCGGGAGUGCUCAGAGAUGGGUGUGCCUCUUUUGGGGUCGGUUCACAGGUGGUGCAUGCCUGUCGUCAGCUCGUGUCGUGAGAUGUUGGGUUAAGUCCCGCAACGAGCGCAACCCUUGUUCACUGUUGCCAGCACGUUAUGGUGGGGACUCAGUGGAGACCGCCGGGGUCAACUCGGAGGAAGGUGGGGAUGACGUCAAGUCAUCAUGCCCCUUAUGUCCAGGGCUUCACGCAUGCUACAAUGGCUGGUACAGAGAGUGGCGAGCCUGUGAGGGUGAGCGAAUCUCGGGAAGCCGGUCUCAGUUCGGAUUGGGGUCUGCAACUCGACCUCAUGAAGUCGGAGUCGCUAGUAAUCGCAGAUCAGCAACGCUGCGGUGAAUAAGUUCCCGGG